UACGUAGGGGCCGAGCGUUGUCCGGAGUUACUGGGCGUAAAGCGUGCGCAGGCGGCCGAUCGCGCCCGGCGUGAAAGCCCCCGGCUCAACCGGGGAGGGUCGUCGGGGACGGGUCGGCUUGAGGGUGCCAGGGGCUGGUGGAAUUCCCGGUGUAGUGGUGAAAUGCGUAGAGAUCGGGAGGAACACCCGUGGCGAAGGCGGCCAGCUGGGGCACACCUGACGCUGAGGCA
rnacentral:rRNA from 1 species